UACAGAGGGGGCCAGCGUUAUUCGGAAUUAUUGGGCGUAAAGCGCGCGUAGGCGGCUUUGCAAGUCGGGUGUGAAAUCCCCAGGCUUACCUGGGAACUGCAUUCGAGACUGCAUUGCUAGAGUAUGGGAGAGGGAAGUGGAAUUUCCGGUGUAGCGGUGAAAUGCGUAGACUAUCGGAAGGAACAUCAGUGGCGAAACGCGACUUCCUGGA
rnacentral:rRNA from 1 species